rnacentral:lncRNA from 1 species
CGCCACGUUUCUUAAUUUGUACGUCCAUUUCUCUGGAAUCCAGGACGUGCCGGCUGAUGCUGUGCAUGCAGCACUCGCGAGCAUCGAUUGGCUGUGAACCGUUUCAAGACCACAUGGUGCUCCUUGAUUCCCUUUCCCCAGUGUUCUUUUGAAGCCGCGGAUUCGCUUUAUUUUUCGCCGGAGGUUCGCCCUUUUGUCCAGCUUUUCCUUUCCCCAGUUCGAAUCCCAUUACCGUCGUCCCUCUGUCUUCCCGUUCCCUCCAAACCCCCCCAGUCUUCGAAAAUCCCGCCUCAAAACCCCGUGCGCGCCUGUCUUUUGCAACAACGCAGGAGCAACCUAGCUCGCCUUUUCUCCGUUGUCUACUGUUGGAUCCGCCUCUUUUUUUUCGAGGCUUUCACUGACCGCGUCCGUGCCGACCUUCUUUCCUGUAAGGUCGUGUCGAACGUGUGUUUGUUUUUAUUGCCGCCAUUCUUACCUAUGCUUCUAUCCUUUUAAUCUCC